ACAUACUCGACAUGCAAUUAAAUUAUAUAAAUCAUCACUAUGUUUCUCUUAAUUAAGCUGAAUUAAUAUAUGAUUCAACUUGCUUAAGAGAAAAAUAAUGUAUACUUAUACUAAUUUAAUUGCAUGCCAAGUGUGUGG